rnacentral:tRNA from 1 species
AAUUUUAUAGUUUAAGGAUAAAAAAAAUAUUAAAAUGCAAAUUUAAAGAUAUUAUAAUUAGAAUAAUUAAGAUUU